CUGGCCACACAGCAGUGGCAGCUCUGGCUCAGGGAUGCUGGUGCAUGGCUGGGCAGGCAUCAGAGCUCGACAACUGACCAAGAAAAAAGAAGUAAUCUUUCACUGACUUGUAUCCAAUCUCAUCUCCUGGUUUGUAGAACCAAUGUGGCUGCUCCCAUCCUGCAUGGAAACCCAUUGAACAUUUGGAUUUAAGCACUUCAUAAAGCCCACUGGCUCGCUCUGUAGGCCUCCCAGCAAACCUUUCUUCUUUAGGAUAACCAACUGGAAAAAUGCACAGAAGACAGGCUGCCUGAGGGGAUGAACUGGGGAUGUAUAACGAAGGAAACUUGUCUAUGGGAUUCCUGCUUCAUUUGUUCCAGAAGCUGAAAGUUGUCAUUUGAAACAGAACUGCCCCUCCAAUGUAAAGAAAAGCAACAUAUAGUUAUAGCCAACUUAAGAAAACAAAACCCUUUCCUGGAUUACAUACAUUCCCUUUCCAUGGACAGAUGUUUUUCCACCUGUCUGUUCUCAUCAUUAUUGUCAAAUCACAGUAUCCUCAUUACAGCUGUUCUCUCCUACAGUUUCAUUUUUUUAGAUCAUUUUUCUAGCUAAAUAUUUUGGAAGACAAAAUACUAAGGACACAACCAUCUGAUGUCUCAAGAUCUCAGGUAUUCUUUACAAGAAUGGAGAUAUUCACCAAUGUAUCCUGGCCAAAUGUUAAUAAGUAAUACAUCUUGACAGUGUACAUGGGAAAGUAUUCUUUGCUUUCUUUCUUAAAUGCUGCUGUUAAACAAUUUGGCAUUUCAGAGGUGAUUCAGAGCAAUACAUCAGGGGAAAGCUUGCUGUUCUUAAGUGCAUGUCAAUUGAUUUGUUUUAACUUUUUUGUCUGUCUACUACUAUCCCAAAGUAAGUGAAGCCAAACCAUAGUAAUUAACUAUCUUUCAUUAAGGGGAGGUUCCAUUAAACUUCCCCUAACUUCAGUAAAGGACACAGUCAAAACAGUUAUAGCAGAUCUGCUGUACUCUACAGUAGACCUCCCUUCCUCACUGUUUAAAAUGGUAUAAUUAUUCAUCUAAGUCCUCUGGAAAGAAUUUGGUCUCCUUUUGAGUACAUGCAAAUGUAAAAUCAAUAACAUAAGUUACUUGAGUCACUUCUGUAUCUAAGGCCCCUAGCAGACUUUACACUUAGGACAUGAUUAACCAGUUACUUAAUCAAGUCUUAAGGAGUAACCCAGCCACAUGUUCAUGCAAUUAACAGUAAUAAAACAGGGAAUAUAUGGAAUAAUUUGUAGCUGAUUCUUAUUGUGCCGUAAAUUGAACAUGUGGCUGCUGCGCUCCUGCAGCUGGGAGUGCUGAUCAGAAAACUGGUGUCCCAGCUGUAGGCAUGCCAGGCACCUGCUUACUAACUUGCUGGUGCCAGGGAGAGCCUGGGAUCAUGAAAUUAGGCAUGCCACACCUACUGUGUGACAUGUCAGGAUGCGCAAUUGAUGGGAGGAUUCAGUGACUUCAAAGGUGUUUUCCCAACUUUCACCUGCAAGGAUUCUAUUUUUUCUGUAUUUAAAGCUUAUACAACAGCACAGUCUCUUUGAGAUACCUCUGAAAAGACUUGUUGGAAACAUCUAUGCUAUUAGAAUCAUCCACAUGAAUUAUAUAAUGCAGCUGUGGUUGCUGUAAGCUAUUUUAUUACUAAGAGUCAUGAAGUCAUAGAGAAGUAGGACUGGAAGGGACCUCCAGAGGUCAUCUAGUCCAACCCCCUGCCUCAGGCAGGAUCAUCCCUAUCCAAAUCCCAUCCAAGACUUGGAUUCCUAAACAUGGCUGUACUGCAGACGAUGCUAAUAGAAUACACAGGGCAUGAGAGGUGCAAUCAUGCCAGCAACCAUGCUAGCUCCUGAAUGGGAAGCAGUGUAACCAUGUUUUUACAGUGCUGCACACAGGCCAGUUUUCUGUCUCUUAGCAGAGCUAAUCGCUGUACUCAGUAUUGGUGAGACUAUAGCUAGAGUACUGCAUCCAGUACUGGGUGCCACACUUCAACAAGAACACACUAAAACUCAAGAGAGUCCACGGAAGGGCCACCCAUAUGAUCAGAGACUUGCAUGGCAAGCCAUAAGGGGAAAGGCUGAGGGACCUGGGACUCUUCAGCCUGAAAUGAGAAGGCUGAUAAGGGACUUGAUAGUAGCUUACCACUACAUCAAGGGCUCAGUGAAAAACUGUUCACCAGGGCACCCUUGGGGAAAAUCAGGAGUAAUGGCCACAAACUCCUGGAAGACCAUUUCAGGCUCUACAUUAGGAAACACUUCUUCACAACUAGGGUGUCCAGACUGUGGAAUAAACUCCCUCCAGAUGUGGUGCAAUCGCCUACCCUGGAAAUCUUCAAGAGGAGACUGAACAGUCACCUUGCUGGGGUCACCUGACUCCCAGUUGUCUUUCCUGCCUGGUGCAGUGGUGCUAGACCUGAUGAUCCCCCAAGGUCCCUUCCAGCCUUGCAAUCUAUGAAUAAGCCUGCUGGCAGUGCCAUGACUACUGUAUAUUUCUUCCAGUCCAGGAGCUAACAAAUAUAGUGCUUCUAAAGCCACGGACAGAUGUUAAUAGAUUUAUAGACAUUAGGGCUAGAAGGGACCUCACGAGAUCAUUGGGUCCAGCCCCCUGCCCAAGGGGCAGGGAGUCAGCUGGGGUCAGAUCACUCCAGCAGGAUAAGCAUCCAAGCAUCCAAGCAUUUCUUAAAGGUAUCCAGAGUCAAGAACAAGGCAAGAUGGGAUCUAAUGCACAAUCCCAACAAUUGCCACACCUGCAGGUCAGGAGACAACUGUGGGAUCAAGCAUCAGAUCCCAUCACGCCAUAUUGCUGGCAGUCCCCCUGCACAGGCAAUUUUCACCCCUGUGGCUGGAAGACCCCAUCAGUUGAUCACAGCUUCCAACCCCCAAAGCUCACCAUGCACUCCUGCAGCUGAAAGCUCCAAUUGCUGAUGGGGCUCCCAGCCAUGGGAGCACAUGGUAUGUCUUCACGGGUGAGAACUCCAAUCAGGUAACAGUACUCCCAGCCUGGGCAGCACAUAGCACGCCUCUGCAGCUGAGAGCUCUGAUGGCUAGGAACCUCAUCAGUGAUUGGAGCUUUCAGUCACCAGGCAGGGGUACACAGCUGGGAGCCCCAAACGGCUGACCAAUGCUCCCAGCCUCUGGAGCACAGGGGAGGCUGGGAGCACCAGUCACACAGUCAAUUAAAGGCAUGAUAGGAACCAGCAACAAAGUUAUUACAUGUGUUUACAUUGUGUAGUAACUUUUUUGCUUAUUCCUGGUUUUAUCUCACCGUUAAUUGCAUGAAAAUGUAGCCAGGUCUCUACUUAAGAUGUGAAUAGCCAGGUAAUCACAUGCUAAGUAUAACACGCAUCAGAGACCUAAAUAUGGCAGUUCCUUGUGCCCUGUGAAUUAUUCCUACUGGGGUGAAUAAAAGAAUGGAGGGUGUAUGUGCUCUUCUGGGAGGAGGAGCAUGCAUCCUAUGGGAUGAGGCACCCAGAGGAAGCACGCUCUACAAAGCGUGGCUAUACUGGGUGCAAAUUUUUCACAGUCCAGCUCUGUCCAUAAGUAUCUAAAAGCUGUCAUGAAUCAUAUCAUGAUUUUUUUACUGUCUUCUUUAAUUUCUGCAAACAUUUCCUGAUCAUGGUUUUACUUUCUAAAACCAGUUGCUAGUGGCUCUUGUGUGUGCCACACAAUAAUACAGGCUAAUGGGCAUUUAGUUGAAAAGAUUAUAUUGAAAGAAUAGCUAUGACAUUUUUAAACACAAAAAAUAAUUUAAUACAUGUCUGAGUAUCAUUUGGCUGCAGAUAAAAUGUUACUGAUUUCAAGAAUGCUAUUUAUGGCAGCAAGAACCUGAUGACCUGCUUUAGGAUUAAAUCACUUUCAGAAGAGGUUGCUUUAUCUUUGCAAUACUGAUAUAUUGCUGGGUCCGAUUUGGGAGUAUAAGUAUUUUAGGAUUCUAGAUGUGGUGAUUAUUUCCAUAAAAUAAAAACUGAGGUUGUCCAAAUCCAUCUCUAUAGGAUUCUUCAGUAAUUUUUAAAAGCCUUUUUAUAUGUUGAAUUUCUUAGUUCACUUCCGAUUGUACUGUACCUAUCAAUGCAUCAACAUUUCUAUGAAUACAGGCAUUUCUUUCAGCAUAUACAGAUCUUGCAGAUAUGACUACAUUUUUACAACAAUUCUGUAAUAAUUGAACAGCAUAGUAAACUGAAUUUUACAGAAAAAAGCAUCAUGUAAAGGGAUAAAACAUGACACCUGCUUCUUUAGAAAAAACCUGUUCAAUUAAUGAGUAAAGGCGAUAUACUAUAAUGACAGAUUUGCACCCUAUGCAGCCCUGAAGCUUUUACUGCUGUUGCAUGGAGUGUCAUUCAGGAUUUCAGAUGCCUAGAAACUGCUGGUACAUGAUCUAGAAUCUAGAGUUACUACAUAAGGCUAAAAACAGACUGCCAGUGGGCAUGUCUACAUAUGCUAAUAAUUCAAAGUAGGAUUACUGUACAGUAAAAAUACUAUGCAGUAAGCCUACCUGGGAACAUGUCUACACAUGCUCCCUCUUGGGAGCAGAUUUGCUCCAUUGGGAGCAGCCUGGUAUAGGGCUUUUCCUGCCCUGCUCUGCCGCCUGCAGCAGGCAGAGAGAGCUCCAGGCUCCCCCUGGGUGCCAGCCUGGGGGCUGGCAGGGAGCACAGGGCCAGUCCUCAUGCACACAGGGCCAGGAGAGCUCUGCCGGCUGCAGCAGCACCUGUCUCCUGACCCCAUACACAUUGGGAGGGGUCCUGAUGUGCACAGGGCUGGGAGACAGCUGCUGCUGCAGAGCUCUCCUGCCCCGUGUACAUGGGGACAAGCCCUGUGCCCAGUGAGGCUUCCCCGUGCAGCCUGGGGCUGGCCACAAACUGUCCCAUUCUGGGGCAGGUCCCAAUCAGUUCCAGGCUGCAAGGAGAGUGUGCCUAGAAUGGGACAGUUCCCAGCCAGCCCUGGCUGGGAACUGUCACUGCUCAACUCAGCUCCCAGCUUCUGUGUGGAGCUGGGAGCUGAGCAGUACCAAGAUGGGGGGAAGACCAGGGCGGAGAGCUACCCCAUCCUAGUGUUGCUCAGCUCCCAGCUUCCAGCCAGGACUAGGGGAGUUCCCUGUCCCCUGUGGUCCCCUAGUGUAGGGGCUGACAGGGAGAAAAGUUGCUCUCAGCCAGAGUCUACACAGGCAGUACUGCACAACAUCUACUGCAUAGUUAGUUUACUACCUGUAUUUAUGGGUAGUAACUAACUGCCAAGUAGACUAAUUUACUGUGUAAUAAAUGUGUGGACAUGUAGACAGUGCCACCUUACUGCACAGUAGAUUAGUCUACUGUGCAAUAAAGAGUCUCAAGUAGACACACCGAGUUUAUUCCAGGACAAAGACUUUAUCCUGAGAUCCUACAGACACAAACUCUCUUCCACAUGAAUGC